GUUGAUAAUACCUCUUUCUGUUAACAUUUCAAAAGCCCGUUUUGCUGAGAAUCAUGCAUUUGAUAUUUAAAAGCUAAUAAAUCCAACUGAUAGAUAGUAGGAAAAUUUUAUUGAUAUAUUCAUUGCAAAAUAGUUCUUCAAACCAAAUUUUGUUUUUGCCUUUGUACUCGUAGUUUCUUUACACUACAUGACUGAGUGAUUGCUACAGUGAAAACACUACUUGCCUACAGCCUUGCUCAAUUAAUUCAUAAGGACUACAUAGGAGGCAGUUAAUACUUGAAUGAAUGAGUGGAUGAAUGCCUCCCCUCUAUGAAAGAAGCUAUGAUGAGGAACCUGAGGCACAGAAUGGGCAAAUGGCUUGUCCAAGAUCACACAGCAAGACAGCAGUGGAGAGAAGAGUCACUGCUUUUGAUUAGCCCAAAUCCUUUUCCACCUGUACCUUGAAGCAAUGAAUGUCAGGCAGCAUGUCAGUUAUAUAGCUGAGAUGCUGACCAUUUUUUUCUCCUCCCCCACACAAAGAAGUAAUCCAAACAAUGGUCAAGCAUUAAUAAAAACAGAAACACCUUGUUAAAAUAACAAAUGUAAAUUGGACUCAAAAGAUGACAGAUUUUUAUGUAUGUGCCCAAAGUUUCAGAGAUGGUUUUAUUCAUGGCCAUGAGCCCAGCACGUGCUUUUGUAACUUCCCAAGCUUUGCUUCUUCAACCCCAGUAUGCUUCAACCUCAGGAAGUCCCC
rnacentral:lncRNA from 1 species